UACGUAGGUGGCGAGCGUUAUCCGGAAUCAUUGGGCGUAAAGGGUGCGUAGGCGGCGAGUUAAGUCUGAGGUAAAAGGUUGCAGCUCAACUGUAACAAGCCUUGGAAACUGACUGGCUAGAGUGCAGGAGAGGGCAGUGGAAUUCCAUGUGUAGCGGUAAAAUGCGUAGAUAUAUGGAGGAACACCAGUGGCGAAGGCGGCUGUCUGGCCUGUAACUGACGCUGAGGCACGAAAGCGUGGGGAGCAAAUAGG
rnacentral:rRNA from 1 species